GACGAACGCUGGCGGCGUGCUUAACACAUGCCAGUCGAACGGAAAGGCCCUGCUUUUGUGGGGUGCUCGAGUGGCGAACGGGUGAGUAACACGUGAGUAACCUGCCCUUGACUUUGGGAUAACUUCAGGAAACUGGGGCUAAUACCGGAUAGGAGCUCCUGCUGCAUGGUGGGGGUUGGAAAGUUUCGGCGGUUGGGGAUGGACUCGCGGCUUAUCAGCUUGUUGGUGGGGUAGUGGCUUACCAAGGCUUUGACGGGUAGCCGGCCUGAGAGGGUGACCGGCCACAUUGGGACUGAGAGACGGCCCAGACGCCUACGGGAGGCAGCAGUGGGGAAUAUUGCACAAUGGGCGGAAGCCUGAUGCAGCAACGCCGCGUGCGUGAUGACGGCCUUCGGGUUGUAAACCGCUUUCGCCUGUGACGAAGCGUGAGUGACGGUAAUGGGUAAAGAAGCACCGGCUAACUACGUG
rnacentral:rRNA from 1 species